UGCGACCCCAGGUCAGGNCGG
rnacentral:rRNA from 1 species